UUGUCCCUGUUAUUGCCCCUU
rnacentral:piRNA from 1 species